rnacentral:lncRNA from 1 species
AUGCAAAGUAGUCAUUUCUCCCUGCAGAAAGAGGGUGGUUCUGAAGCUGAAAGGUUCUUGGGCAGCGGUGGGGACCACUGGCUUGGCCUUAAGCCUGCCCUGUGUGGUGCUGCUGGCUUUGACUCUUCAGAUGAAGUGGAGAUGCUUUCAAGCUGUUUCUUCCAGGACAGACACUCAUGUGACUUUGAACUUUCUUGUUCACAAUCCAUUCUGCUGGGCUGUGGACCCUGCACAGACCCCCAGAUGCAAGGAAUGAAGGAAGCAGAUGCCUCCUGGACUAAGACAGAUGCUUCAUGGAGGAGAGUGGAAAUCAGCAGUCCCUGGGCUCCCUUCCAUGGCCUGUCACAUUGUCUUAUCUCGUUCAAGGGAGAGCCAGCCAUUUUGAAUUGGGCUUUCUAUGCUCAACCCAAAGAAUCUGGCUUAUGCGGUUGGAGAAGAGAGAUGGGGAGUGCCCACAGUCUACUGGUUUUUACUGCUUCCCUCAGGAGGAAGUGGCAUUUACCUAACUCCCCGCUGCUCACUGACUGUGGCUGUUAUCACAGUGAAGAAAACCUUCCAGAAGACUGAACUUUUUCAGGAUGGCACUUUUAGGAUAUUUUCCAUGUGGAUAAGUGUACGAGAGACAUACGACGGCAAAAUCAGAAACUCUGGACUUGCCAGUUAAUUCCCUCUUUAGCUUUUCUUUACACCAGGGGAAGAAAGACCCUAAAAGCAUGGUAAUUUUUUGUGUUUUAGACCCUAAAUUUUUAUUACGCUUUGAAAUUUAACCUACGAUCAUUCUCUCUUUUUGUUGCACAUACAUCUGCAUCAGACACCAACAGUGACCAGAUCUGCCUUUGACCUCCCUAACGGGAACUUAAUUGUCUUUUAUGCCCAAGUGGUCACCAUACACCACCACCUGUGAUGCCUCCCAGGCAGGAGGAGAGGACAAUCUUUUUUUCAUGUGUGUGGAGUAAAUCACACAAGCCAGUCAGUAUACAGAUUGACUUCUAUAUACUGUAGAAUAUAACCAUCGCCGAAAACUGAAUUCUUGAAUAUGAGUGUUAUCCUGGCCAAUAAAAAUAGAAAUCACCAUAGAGGAGUUAAUUAA